rnacentral:rRNA from 1 species
AGGAGGCAGCAGUGGGGAAUUUUGCGCAAUGGGCGAAAGCCUGACGCAGCAACGCCGCGUGGAGGAUGAAGGCCUUCGGGUCGGAAACUCCUGUCGAUGGGGACGAAAGCCUCGCAAGAGGUGUGACUGUACCCGUUGAGGAAGCCACGGCUAACUCCGUGCCAGCAGCCGCGGUAAUACGGAGGUGGCAAGCGUUGUUCGGAAUUACUGGGCGUAAAGGGCGCGUAGGCGGCGGAACAAGUCAGAUGUGAAAGCCCCGGGCUUAACUCGGGAAUUGCAUCUGAAACUGUUUUGCUUGAGUCCUGGAGGGGAUGGUGGAAUUCCCAGUGUAGCGGUGAAAUGCGUAGAUAUUGGGAGGAACACCUGCGGCGAAGGCGGCCAUCUGGACAGUGACUGACGCUGAGGCGCGAAAGCUAGGGGAGCGAACGGGAUUAGAUACCCCGGUAGG